rnacentral:rRNA from 1 species
GAUGAACGCUGGCGGCGUGCCUAAUACAUGCAAGUCGAGCGAACAGACGAGGAGCUUGCUCCUCUGACGUUAGCGGCGGACGGGUGAGUAACACGUGGAUAACCUACCUAUAAGACUGGGAUAACUUCGGGAAACCGGAGCUAAUACCGGAUAAUAUAUUGAACCGCAUGGUUCAAUAGUGAAAGACGGUUUUGCUGUCACUUAUAGAUGGAUCCGCGCCGCAUUAGCCAGUUGGUAAGGUAACGGCUUACCAAGGCAACGAUGCGUAGCCGACCUGAGAGGGUGAUCGGCCACACUGGAACUGAGACACGGUCCAGACCCCUACGGGAGGCAGCAGUAGGGAAUCUUCCGCAAUGGGCGAAAGCCUGACGGAGCAACGCCGCGUGAGUGAUGAAGGUCUUCGGAUCGUAAAACUCUGUUAUUAGGGAAGAACAAAUGUGUAAGUAACUAUGCACGUCUUGACGGUACCUAAUCAGAAAGCCACGGCUAACUACGUG